ACGAACGCUGGCGGCAUGCCUAACACAUGCAAGUCGAACGAGAUCAUUGACUUCGGUUGAUGAUCUAGUGGCGCACGGGUGCGUAACACGUGGGAAUCUGCCCUUAGGUACGGAAUAACACAGAGAAAUUUGUGCUAAUACCGUAUGAUGACUUCGGUCCAAAGAUUUAUCGCCUAAGGAUGAGCCCGCGUCGGAUUAGCUAGUUGGUGAGGUAAAGGCUCACCAAGGCGACGAUCCGUAGCUGGUCUGAGAGGAUGAUCAGCCACACUGGGACUGAGACACGGCCCAGACUCCUACGGGAGGCAGCAGUGGGGAAUAUUGGACAAUGGGCGAAAGCCUGAUCCAGCAAUGCCGCGUGAGUGAAGAAGGCCUUAGGGUUGUAAAGCUCUUUUACCCGGGAUGAUAAUGACAGUACCGGGAGAAUAAGCUCCGGCUAACUUCGUGCCAGCCGCCGCGGUAAU
rnacentral:rRNA from 1 species